GGAUGGAAUUUGGGGAUUACAAUAACUUAGCAAAUCGCAUAGAGUAAACACGCGAUAAAUCUUUCGAGUUUCUGACCUAUCAGCUUUCGAGGGCAUGGUAUUGGCUUACCGGGCAGAGACGGAUAACGGGGGAUAGGGUCGAUUCCGGAGAGGGAGCCUGAGAAACGGCUACCACAUCUAAGGAAGGCAGCAGGCGCGCAAAUUACCCAAUUCUAACAGCAUAAGAGAGGUAGUGACAAGAAAUAACAAUACAAGGCAGUUAAAAUGCUUUGUAAUUGGAAUGAUAGAAAUUUAAACACUUUUUAAAGUAUCAAUUGGAGGGCAAGUCUGGUGCCAGCAGCCGCGGUAAUUCCAGCUCCAAUAGCGUAUAUUAAAAUUGUUGCAGUUAAAAAGCUCGUAGUUGAAUUUCUGCUAAAAAUAACCGGUCUGCUUUUAAUAAAGGUGGUAUCUUGGUGUGUUUUUAGCAAUAAUGUCCUUUGAAAUGUUUUUUACUUCAUUGUAAUAAAUUAUUUUCAGGAUUUUUACUUUGAGAAAAUUAGAGUGUUUCUAGCAGGCUAACGCUUUGAAUACUGC
rnacentral:rRNA from 1 species